GAAAUGCGAUAAGUAGUGUGAAUUGCAGAAUUCAGUGAAUCAUCGAAUCUUUGAACGCACAUUGCGCCCCUUGGUAUUCCAUGGGGCAUGCCUGUUCGAGCGUCAUCUACACCCUCAAGCUCUGCUUGGUGUUGGGCGUCUGUCCCCGCCUCCGCGCGCGGACUCGCCCCAAAUCCAUUGGCAGCGUCCCCUCGCCCCCCUCUCGCGCAGCACGAAUGCGCAUGACGAGGGAGUGGCUCCCGGGAUCGCGACCCACCCCCAAGAUGACCACCGUCUUUGACCUCGGAUCAGGUAGGGAUACCCGCUGAACUUAAGC
rnacentral:misc_RNA from 1 species